UCGGCUCUCUUGGGUUUCAGAGUCAAACGUCUCUUGCCUAGAGAGGCCUCGACCUGUCCCACUGCGGUGGUUUUGGUGUGUGGCUGAGGAAGAACGGUGUUGGGAUUUUUUGAUGGGUUCCAGACAAGGUUCUUCUUCAGCUUGGGAAGCGGACCGGGGAGCAGAGCGAUCAGUCCUCUGGUCACCUUGAGAACCCUGUAGAAGAGGGACACACAUGAGGGCAUCAACUGAGGAACUAAUGUGUCUUGGGAGCAGCAUCAUGUCUAAUCUCUUAAGCUGUUUGUACCAUGUAGCUAACUUACCGGAGGACACUGGGCCAGUUUAUCAGCUGCUACCAUCUGGACAUUGAGGUGUUUUGCUUGAGAUUUUCCUCGAGAUUUUAUUAACCUUUGUAAAACCUGGAAAAAAGUACAGUUUUGUAACAGGAAUAUCUGUACUUGGGUAAGCUACAGAGUAUAUUAUGGACUACUUUAUACUUGUCCCUGGAUGAACAGCAUGUAUCAUUGAGAAAUAAAAUACAACAUAGAGAUAAACCACAAAA